rnacentral:rRNA from 1 species
AUUGAACGCUGGCGGCAUGCUUUACACAUGCAAGUCGAACGGUAACAGGCCGCAAGGUGCUGACGAGUGGCGAACGGGUGAAUAAUGCAUCGGAACGUGCCCAGUCGUGGGGGAUAACGCAGCGAAAGCUGCGCUAAUACCGCAUACGAUCUCUGGUUGAAAGCGGGGGACCGGAAGGCCUCGCGCGAUUGGAUCGGCCGAUGGCAGAUUAGGUAGUUGGUGGGGUAAAGGCUCACCAAGCCGACGAUCUGUAGCUGGUAUGAGAGGACGACCAGCCACACUGGGACUGAGACACGGCCCAGACUCCUACGGGAGGCAGCAGUGGGGAAUUUUGGACAAUGGGCGCAAGCCUGAUCCAGCAAUGCCGCGUGCAGGAAGAAGGCCUUCGGGUUGUAAACUGCUUUUGUACGGAACGAAAAGGCUCUGGAUAAUACCUGGGGCUCAUGACGGUACCGUAAGAAUAAGCACCGGCUAACUACGUGCCAGCCGCCGCGGUAACAC